rnacentral:rRNA from 1 species
CCUACGGGUGGCAGCAGUGAGGAAUAUUGGUCAAUGGGCGGAAGCCUGAACCAGCCAAGUAGCGUGCAGGACGACGGCCCUAUGGGUUGUAAACUGCUUUUAUGCGGGGAUAAAGUGAGGGACGUGUCCCUUUUUGCAGGUACCGCAUGAAUAAGGACCGGCUAAUUCCGUGCCAGCAGCCGCGGUAAUACGGAAGGUCCGGGCGUUAUCCGGAUUUAUUGGGUUUAAAGGGAGCGUAGGCCGGGGAUUAAGUGUGUUGUGAAAUGUAGGCGCCCAACGUCUGACUUGCAGCGCAUACUGGUUCCCUUGAGUACGCGCAACGCCGGCGGAAUUCGUCGUGUAGCGGUGAAAUGCUUAGAUAUGACGAAGAACCCCGAUUGCGAAGGCAGCCGGCGGGAGCGCAACUGACGCUGAAGCUCGAAGGUGCGGGUAUCGAACAGGAUUAGAUACCCGGGUAGUC